UUUUGUGACAUUUAUAUUCGUGUACUAUCGUGUACUAGAAGUCAGUUCCCGUUUUAUCAUUAUUGGGAAGAAUGGCUCUUAGCUGAAGCUUCUCUCUUCUCUGAAGCUUAUUCUGAAGACUGAACAACAAGGGAAGAGGUAUAAAGCUUUGUCAAGCUUGUUAAGGAUCUAGGAGCAAUGGCUAAUAUCCAGAUAUCCCAACAGUGCUCCUCUUGGCUAUACUAACGGACGAGACUGGACAGUUUGAGGACUGGAGUAUGACCUGCUCAUUCGAGCGUUGCUGGGUAGCUCAGAGACAUCAAGAGAAUCUACGUUUUCUCAAGCAAAAUUUAACUGAGUUACGAGUUGGGGCCUAGAAUCACAGAAGUCCAGCAGCCUGCUAAAUCUUUUUGAAACGUAAUUUGAAGGCAUUCAAUCAUCCUGAAGUUUCCCUGGGUCACUGUAACUGUGCUGCAGCACAACUGGCAACUCCCCAGGCCUUUGUGAAGCAGCUCCCUAUGUGCAUCUUUUGUGUACUCACUCUGUGCAU